UAUUUCAGGAAGAAGUCUGAGAUUGGGAACC
rnacentral:piRNA from 1 species